rnacentral:rRNA from 1 species
CGAAAGUGCCGGUAAUACUCGAUGACGUCCAGGUGUCGCAUGGCACUUGGAUCAAAGGUGGGGAUCUUCGGACCUGCCGGUAUUGGAUCGGCCCACGUCCUAUCAGCUUGUUGGUGGGGUAAUGGCCUACCAAGGCGGUGACGGGUAGCCGGCGUGAGAGCGCGACCGGCCACAUCGGGACUGAGACACUGCCCGGACACCUACGGGUGGCUGCAGCAACGAAUAUUCCGCAAUGGGCGAAAGCCUGACGGAGCGACGCCGCGUGGAGGAUGAAGUCCCUCGGGAUGUAAACUUCAAUAGUACGUCAGGAAGUGCGACGGCUUAAUAGGCCGUCAAGUUGACCAGUGUACGAAAGGGGUGGCUAACUCCGUGCCAGCAGCCGCGGUAAUACGGAGACCCCUAGCGUUGUUCGGAAUUACUGGGCUUAAAGCGGGGGUAGGCGGGACGGUAAGUACUUUGUGAAAGCCCCGGGCUCAACUCGGGAAUUGCUUAGUAUACUGUCGUCCUUGAGGCAGGCAGGGGUCACUGGAACCUUAGGUGGAGCGGUGAAAUGCGUAGAUAUCUAAGGGAACGCCUGUGGCGAAAGCGGGUGACUGGGCCUGUACUGACGCUGAGACCCGAAAGCGUAGGUAGCGAACGGGAUUAGAUACCCCGGUAGUCUACGCCGUAAACGAUGCGCACUAGGUUCGAGAAUUCUGACAAUUUUCGUGCCGUAACCAAACGUUGUGAAGUGCGCCGCCUGGGGAGUACAGGCCGCAAGGCUAGAACUCAAAGGAAGGGACGGGGGCUCACACAAGCGAUGGAGCAUGUGGAUCAAUUCGAAGCAACGCGAAGAACCGUACCUGGCUUGGACAUGCACGGAUGCCCUCCCUGAAAGGGGAGUAAGCUGCCUUCGGGUGAAACGUGCACAGGUGCAGCAUGGCAGUCGUCAGCUCGUGCUGUGAAGUGUCAGGGUUAAGUCCC